rnacentral:lncRNA from 1 species
GCUCAUCUGCGCUUUGCAAUUUACCAUGAUUCCUCUCCCUCCUCUCCCUCCUCUCCCUCCUCUCCCUCCUCUCCCUCCUCUCCCUCCUCGCCCGCCUCGCCUUCGGCCUGUGAAUAGUCUGCUCAUUGACCUUGCAGAUGCAUAUCCCGGUUGUAAUGCUCAACUCCGUACACGUCUCUUCCUUCAGUUCUAAAUUUUAUAACUAGUCCUUCUUAAUAAUAUCUUUUUUUUGCUUGGCGCUUUACGCUGCCAUUUUUCCGGGUAUCACAUUCCAUAUGUCUAGUCGAUUUGCGUUGUGAUCUUUCGUAACCGCCUUAUUCUCAGCCAUUACGAUACUUUACGCUGCACACCUUCCUGACUUCUGCGCUUUCCAUUUUACCAUGUUUUCUCUAUUAUUUACUAACACCGCG